rnacentral:rRNA from 1 species
AUUGAACGCUGGCGGCAGGCCUAACACAUGCAAGUCGAACGAGUGGCGGACGGGUGCGUAAUGUCUGGGAAACUGCCUGAUGGAGGGGGAUAACUACUGGAACCGGUAGCUAAUACCGCAUACCAUCAGAUGUGCCCAAAUGGGAUUAGCUUUUUGGUGGGGUAACGGCUCACCAAGGCGAUGAUCCCUAGCUGGUCUGAGAGGAUGACCAGACACACUGUAACUGAGACCCUGUCCAGACUCCUACGGUAGGCAGCAGUGGGGAAUAUUGCACAAUGGGCUCAAGCCUGAUGCAGCCAUGCCGAGUGUAUGAAGAAGGCCUUCGGGUUGUAAAGUACUUUCAGCGGUGAGGCGUUACCCGCAGAAGAAGCACCGGCUAACUCCGUGCCAGCAGCCGCGGUAAUUC